GAUGAACGCUGGCGGCGUGCCUAAUACAUGCAAGUCGAGCGAACAGACGAGGAGCUUGCUCCUCUGACGUUAGCGGCGGACGGGUGAGUAACACGUGGAUAACCUACCUAUAAGACUGGGAUAACUUCGGGAAACCGGAGCUAAUACCGGAUAAUAUAUUGAGCCGCAUGGUUCAAUAGUGAAAGACGGUUUUGCUGUCACUUAUAGAUGGAUCCGCGCCGCAUUAGCUAGUUGGUAAGGUAACGGCUUACCAAGGCAACGAUGCGUAGCCGACCUGAGAGGGUGAGCGGCCACACUGGAACUGAGACUCGGUCCAGACUCCUACGGGAGGCAGCAGUAGGGAAUCUUCCGCAAUGGGCGAAUGCCUGACGGAGCAACGCCGCGUGAGUGAUGAAGGUCUUCGGAUCGUAAAACUCUGUUAUUAGGGAAGAACAAAUGUGUAAGUAACUAUGCACGUCUUGACGGUACCUAAUCAGAAGGCCACGGCUAGCUACGUG
rnacentral:rRNA from 1 species